rnacentral:rRNA from 1 species
AUUGAACGCUGGCGGCAGGCCUAACACAUGCAAGUCGAGCGGAUGAAGGGAGCUUGCUCCUGGAUUCAGCGGCGGACGGGUGAGUAAUGCCUAGGAAUCUGCCUGGUAGUGGGGGAUAACGUCCGGAAACGGGCGCUAAUACCGCAUACGUCCUGAGGGAGAAAGUGGGGGAUCUUCGGACCUCACGCUAUCAGAUGAGCCUAGGCCGGAUUAGCUAGUUGGUGGGGUAAAGGCCUACCAAGGCGACGAUCCGUAACUGGUCUGAGAGGAUGAUCAGUCACACUGGAGCUGAGACAGGGUCCAGACUCCUACGGGAGGCAGCAGCGGGGAAUAUUGGACAAUGGGCGAAAGCCUGAUCCAGCCAUGCCGCGUGUGUGAAGAAGGUCUUCGGAUUGUAAAGCACUUUAAGUUGGGAGGAAGGGCAGUAAGUUAAUACCUUGCUGUUUUGACGUUACCAACAGAAGAAGCACCGGCUAACUACGUG